rnacentral:lncRNA from 1 species
CAUAUUUUCUUUUGAAUUUGUAACUGGAUAUCUCUGGCCGCAGAUAAAAGACACGGUAGUUGUUUGGUCAAAUAUCUGUUUUAUAUCUGCUUUACAUGUGAAAUACUUAGAAAAAAAGAAAAGAAAAAUACAAAUCAACACAGUGAGGAAAAAAUGUAUCAUCCAAAAUUAACUAGAUGAUUAUUAAUACUGUUACAAGUAACACAAACCCCGUUGAAUGCAGUCUCUGUUUGUCCACCUAAGGCGAUCACGUGUGUUAUAUAUAGUUUUUCUGUGCGUAUUCAUUGGAAACGUUUAUAAAAUUAAAAAAACAAGAUGGUAAAUACCAAUGAGAGAAAGAUAAAAGAAAUGUAAGUAGAGUGCUAUGCUAACUUUUUAAUAUGUAUACUACUAAUUGUGUACGCCAACAGUAACUAUCAUUUUCAGAUUUGUACAACUUGAACUUCAGCUGAACUGAUGAAAAAAUGGAAAACACUAUAUUUAGAACUGCAUUUUGAUGUCUUUCGUCGGAAAAGUGCCCCACACUGCACGAAAAAGACCCAUUGAACAAUUCCUUGGGUGGUCCUUGUGUGGAAUGUUAGCAAAAUUUAAAUACAUGUGUAAUAAUCCCCCAUUUCUAGUGGCAGUCUUGACUUCCAUCCCGGUUAAAGUCCUCUUGCCAUUGGGUGUAUUAAUAGUCUAUUCACGC